rnacentral:lncRNA from 1 species
CUACGAUUCAACUUGAGGGGGAGUGUAGAAAUUGUAGGAAUCCCAAAUCAAUCAUGGGAUUAUUGUAUUUAUAUUUAUGGUAUGAUUGUCUCUAGGUUAGGAAAGUUUUAUUUUCUUCUUUAGUUAGAAUAUUUUUUCCUUUUCCGACUAUCGUGUAUGGUGUAUAUAUUGGGGCAAGUUGUAUUGGAAUAAUUAUUGAGAAAACAAAUAAAAAGUUUUUUCUCUCAUUCGUCCAUAGUUUCCAUCUUCAGAUCCUUUCCAAACAUGAACUGUCUGCAAAGUGCAGAGCACGAGUAUUGGAUUUAAAGCAACCAACUAAUUUUAAAUACAUCAAAGUAUAUGGUCAUAAAUAAAUAUGAAAUCAAACCUUGUGAUCAUUACUUGUUAUAUUACAGAGAAUAGCAAUCAUAAAGUGCAAUGAAAAAUCAACCAAUAUUGAUGUUUUCCCCUUUUUGGUUGGUUGAAUCGUUUUUGCUAAAAAUCAUGCUUUUCCUUUUUUUUUUUUUUUCCCUCCAAUCUAACUUAGUCCUCAUAUAUACUUGUUGACAGAUGUUGCAUCAAAGAUCUGAGUACAUGUCAUGUUGUUUAAAUCAAUCCCAAAACAUGAAAGAAUAUAGUGCAAUUUGAAUUGCCAAGACAUUUCAGUUUUUGGAAAGCUCCCAUCUGUACAGGCCCCUCAAAAUAUUGGACAGGGUAAUUUUCUUCUUAGAAGCAAACUGAGAUCUAAUCCACCUACAUUUAGAUGUUACUAUGUCUCAAAUGUAGCUCCCCUUUUGCAGCAGCAUUCAGGACAUCCAAGCUACAAUAACAAACUAAGAAUUAUUCCAAUAAAUAAGAUUCAGCUACAUGAAACAGUGUUCACUUCAAACCGAGAAUCAUUAAAUAACGGUUUGAAGACCUAUUUACAUGGCUGAAUCUACAUAUAGUUCCAUCAUGACACCCUAUAAGAAUAAAAAGAAUAAAGCAUUUGAAGUGAUGGAUCUUCAAUGUAAUUUAUUUCAUCUCAACAAAUAAAAAUAACAAGGCUACAAAAAGAAUUUGGUUCAAGGUAAUCUGCACUCCUUGUGAAUCUAGUGAAUCGUGAACAUUGAAUAUUAACGAAUAGUAAGAUUAGUUCUAAUUCUGAUUUGAGCUUAUUCACCUUUCUGAUUGAAUCAAAAUUAAUCAUGUGAUUUUAGUGAUGUUGCACAAUUGACUAGUAUUUUUCAUCCUGGAUGAAGAAUCCCCCAGGUGAAAUUCGGAGGUUUAUAAGUUCAUCGCAAUUCUUAGUUACAGACAACAGAAAAUUUUCCAAAUCUGUAAUCUAUUGCUUAAUUGGAUGAGGAAAUAGAUAUUUCAUGCUAAUUAUGUGUAUUUAUACAUCUAAAUCAAAAGAAUGUAAAGGAAAGUAAUAAGAGUUUCAAUUAGAAAUGUUGAGGUUGUCUCAUAUCGGUUGUGGAUGGAGUUGGUAUUCAAUUUAUAAGUGUAAGGGAAAGUCUUACUUCUUGAACUAACUUUU